rnacentral:rRNA from 1 species
UACAGAGGGUGCGAGCGUUGUCCGGAAUCACUGGGCGUAAAGGGCGCGUAGGUGGCGACCCAAGUCGAUGGUGAAAGCUCGCCGCUCAACGGCGAGUCGGCCACCGAUACUGGGUUGCUGGAGCACUGUAGAGGCUCAUGGAAUUCCGGGUGUAGCGGUGGAAUGCGUAGAGAUCCGGAAGAACGACCGGUGGCGAAGGCGGUGAGCUGGGCAGUUGCUGACACUGAGGCGCGGACAGCGUGGGGAGCAACAGG